GACGAACGCUGGCGGCGUGCUUAACACAUGCAAGUCGAACGGAAAGGCCCUGCUUUUGUGGGGUGCUCGAGUGGCGAAAGGGUGUGUAACACGUGAGUAACCUGCCCUUGACUUUGGGAUAACUUCAGGAAACUGGGGCUAAUACCGGAUAGGAGCUCCUGCUGCAUGGUGGGGGGUGGAAAGUUUCGGCGGUUGAGGAUGGACUCGCGGCUUAUCAGCUUGUUGGUGGGGUAGUGGCUUACCAAGGCUGUGACGGGUAGCCGGCCUGAGAGGGUGACCGGCAACAUUGGGACUGAGAUACGGCCCAUACUCCUACGGGAGGCAGCAGUGGGGAAUAUUGCACAAUGGGCGGAAGCCUGAUGCAGCAACGCCGCGUGCGAGAUAACGGCCUUCGGGUUGUAAACCGCUUUCGCCUGUGACGAAGCGUGAGUGACGGUAAUGGGUAAAGAAGCACCGGCUAACUACGUG
rnacentral:rRNA from 1 species